UUGUCUUCUGCAUUAAUAAACAAUUAACAAAGCAAAAAUAAAUUUAUCGGCGGUGUGCCUGCUUUCCGUCGAGUAUCUUCCUGUUUGAGUUUUCGAUUAGGAAAAUUUUAUUUUUGUUUUGGAGUUUUGACUGUGCAAUUUAUUUUGUUGUGAUGAAGCUUACUUAUUUUAGCGAAUUGAAAUUUUUCUGCGUUAGUGAAAUUAGAUUUGUCUUGUGAAAAAUUUGAUCGAUGAAUUUUGAGUUGUUUUUUGCAGUUUAGGUACUGGGUGGGUUAGUGAAAUUAAGAUUACUGUUCGAUCCAUUUCUUCUGAUUUUGGGAGGUUUUUUGAGUUGUUUUAAGAAAUUGGGUGUUUUUCGCGUUAGUGAAAUUAGCAUUUGUGUUGUCAAAAAAUCGAUCUGUUUGAAAAUUUUGAGUUGUACUUCACAGUUUAGAUACCAAAUUAGUUAAAUUUUGGGUUAAUUUCAUUUUAAGAAAUUGAAAUUUUUUCGCAUUACUGAAAUCAGCGUUUGUGUUGUAAAAAAUUUGAUUUAUUUAAAAAUUUUGGGUUGUGCUUCCCAGUUAAUGGUAGAUUUUAUUUUUCGAAAAAUUGAUUAGCUUUUACGAUUCAAUUUCCUUGAUGGGUUUUGCUUUCGCACUCUUGCUAGUUCCUAUAAAUUGCAGUGUUGCAUAAAGUUGAUUCCUUUUCCUUGUUCAAUUUUGUUGUUGAGUUUUGUUCUUGUGCGGUUCCCUUCCAGAUUGGAUCUGUUUAAGGAAGCUUGUGGUGCUAAAUAAUGGCGGGUAGAGUUAUUUUAUGCUGGUAGCUAAGAAAAUUAUUGGGGAUAUUUACUUGUAAAGAUAUGGUGUUUGGGUGUAAUCUAAUCUCAAAAGUUAUCUUAUGAGAGUAAGAUUGCACGUAUCCAUAUAAAAAGACCGUCAAUUCAUUUUUCAAUUAUUGUGGGACUUUAAUUCACUUCAAUAAUACCAGAGUACGCUUCAUCAAAAUCUAUACUAGGAGUAACAAAAUUGAGAAAAUGGCUACUUUCUUGUUUCUUUGCAUCACUGUUUUUGCUGUUUGCACUUGUCUCUUUCACUGGUAUCUCAACUCCUUUUUUACAUCCAUAGUUUAUAUAUUUGCCUGAAGUUGUGCGCUUAGCUUUAAAGUUAAGUCUUUUAUCAUGUUCAUUAGUAAUAUGUUGCCUCAAACACGAGGGCUUUAAUGUAUCCUUUUUAACUCCAUAAUUUGUGUAUUUGUACGAGGUUGUUUGUUGAGUUCCAAAGUUAAUCGUCUUUUAUCGUGUUCGUUAGUGGGAUUUUGCUUUUAUGAUUAGAGGUUUGUGUGUUGCUUCAAAGAUGACGAAUUUAAUGUGUUCUUUUUAACUCCAUAAAUUAUGUAUUUUCAUAAAGUUGUUUGUUAUGCUUCAAAGUUAAUGAUUUUUUAUCAUGUUUAUUAGUGGUAUUUUGUGUAGACGCGUGAUUUUUGAUCCUUUCGAAUUUUG
rnacentral:lncRNA from 1 species